GUUCAACGGCCGCGGUAUCCUAACCGUGCGAAGGUAGCGUAAUCACUUGUUCUUUAAAUGAGGACUAGUAUGAAUGGCAUCACGAGGGUUAUACUGUCUCCUCUUUUUAAUCAGUAAAACUAUUCUCCCCGUGAAGAAACGGGGAUAUUAUUAUAAGACGAGAAGACCCUAUGGAGCUUUAAAUUUUAUUUCAUUUGCUCUUUUUAUAGCCCGCCCCGACUUCUUACUCUUAGCUGAGCAUAUUGACAAUAAAUUUUAGGUUGGGGUGACCGCGGAGCAUAAAUAAACCUCCACGUAGAACAGGCCUAAACCUUGAAUAAAGAGCCACAACUCUAAAUACUAAUACAUUAACAUCCAUUGACCCAAUAUUUUUGAUCAACGAACCAAGUUACCCUAGGGAUAACAGCGCAAUCUACUUUGAGAGCCCCUAUCGACAAGUAGGUUUACGACCUCGAUGUUGGAUCAGGGUAUCCCAGUGGUGCAGCCGCUACUAAAGGUUCGUUUGUUCAACGAUUUAAACCC
rnacentral:rRNA from 1 species